rnacentral:rRNA from 1 species
UACGUAGGGCGCAAGCGUUAUCCGGAAUUAUUGGGCGUAAAGGGCUCGUAGGCGGUUUGUCACGUCGGGAGUGAAAACUCAGGGCUUAACCCUGAGCCUGCUUCCGAUACGGGCAGACUAGAGGUAUGCAGGGGAGAACGGAAUUCCUGGUGUAGCGGUGAAAUGCGUAGAUAUCUGGAGGAACACCGGUGGCGAAGGCGACAUCCUGGACCGGUAUUGACGCUGAGGCGCGAAAGCCAGGGGAGCAAACGGG